rnacentral:rRNA from 1 species
ACGGGUGAGUAACACGUGGGUGAUCUGCCCUGCACUUCGGGAUAAGCCUGGGAAACUGGGUCUAAUACCGGAUAUGACCUCCUAUCGCAUGGUGGGUGGUGGAAAGAUUUAUCGGUGCAGGAUGGGCCCGCGGCCUAUCAGCUUGUUGGUGGGGUAAUGGCCUACCAAGGCGACGACGGGUAGCCGACCUGAGAGGGUGACCGGCCACACUGGGACUGAGACACGGCCCAGACUCCUACGGGAGGCAGCAGUGGGGAAUAUUGCACAAUGGGCGAAAGCCUGAUGCAGCGACGCCGCGUGAGGGACGACGGCCUUCGGGUUGUAAACCUCUUUCAGCAGGGACGAAGCGCAAGUGACGGUACCUGCAGAAGAAGCACCGGCUAACUACGUGCCAGCGGCCGCGGUAAUACGUAGGGUGCAAGCGUUGUCCGGAAUUACUGGGCGUAAAGAGUUCGUAGGCGGUUUGUCACGUCGUUUGUGAAAACUCACAGCUCAACUGUGAGCCUGCAGGCGAUACGGGCAGACUUGAGUACUGCAGGGGAGACUGGAAUUCCUGGUGUAGCGGUGAAAUGCGCAGA